rnacentral:rRNA from 1 species
UACGUACUGUGCGAACGUUUAUUCGGAAUCACUGGGCUUAAAGGGUGUGUAGGCGGCCAGCUAAGUAGGGUGUGAAAGGCCUCGGCCUAACCGAGGCAUUGCGCUCUAAACUGACUGGCUUGAGUGAGAUAGGGGUGUGCGGAACUUCCAGUUGGAGCGGUGAAAUGCGUAGAUAUCGUCUGGAACGCCAAAGGUGAAAAACAGCUCGCUGGGGUUGUGCUGACGCUGAGACACGAAAAGCCAGGGGGAGCGAAACGGGG